CCUACGGGUGGCAGCAGUGAGGGAUAUUGGUCAAUGGGGGAAACCCUGAACCAGCAACGCCGCGUGAGGGAAGACGGCUUUCGGGUUGUAAACCUCUGUCAUCGGUGAAGAUGAUGACGGUAGCAGAGGAGGAAGCUACGGCUAACAACGUGACAGCAGCCGCGGUAAUACGUAGGGAGCAAGGGUUGUACGGAAUUAAGGGGCGUAAAGGGUACGUAGGUUGCCCGGCAAGUCAGAAGUGAAAUCCACGGGCUCAACCUGUGAACUGCUUUUGAUACUGUAAGGCUUGAGUGAAGUAGAGGGAGGUAGAAUUCCCGGUGUAGCGGUGAAAUGCGUAGAGAUCUGGAGGAAUACCAGUGGCGAAGGCGGCCUGCUGGGC
rnacentral:rRNA from 1 species